rnacentral:rRNA from 1 species
GACGAACGCUGGCGGCGUGCUUAACACAUGCAAGUCGAACGGAAAGGCCCUGCUUUUGUGGGGUGCUCGAGUGGCGAACGGGUGAGUAACACGUGAGUAACCUGCCCUUGACUUUGGGAUAACUUCAGGAAACUGGGGCUAAUACCUGAUAGGAGCUCCUGCUGCAUGGUGGGGGUUGGAACGUUUCGGCGGUUGGGGAUGGACUCGCGGCUUAUCAGCUUGUUGGUGGGGUAGUGGCUUACCAAGGCUUUGACGGGUAGCCGGCCUGAGAGGGUGACCGGCCACAUGGGGACUGAGAGACGGCCCAGACUCCUACGGGAGGCAGCAGUGGGGAAUAUUGCACAAUGGGCGGAAGCCUGAUGCAGCAACGCCGCGUGCGGGAUGACGGCCUUCGGGUUGUAAACCGCUUUCGCCUGUGACGAAGCGUGAGUGACGGUAAUGGGUAAAGAAGCACCGGCUAACUACGUG